rnacentral:rRNA from 1 species
GACGAACGCUGGCGGCGUGCUUAACACAUGCAAGUCGAACGGAAAGGCCCUGCUUUUGUGGGGUGCUCGAGUGGCGAACGGGUGAGUAACACGUGAGUAACCUGCCCUUGACUUUGGGAUAACUUCAGGAAACUGGGGCUAAUACCGGAUAGGAGCUCCUGCUGCAGGGUGGGGGUUGGAAAGUUUCGGCGGUUGGGGAUGGACUCGCGGCUUAUCAGCUUGUUGGUGGGGUAGUGGCUUACCAAGGCUUUGACGGGUAGCCGGCCUGAGAGGGUGACCGGCCACAUUGGGACUGAGAUACGGCCCAGACUCCUACGGGAGGCAGCAGUGGGGAAUAUUGCACAAUGGGCGGAAGCCUGAUGCAGCAACGCCGCGUGCGGGAUGACGGCCUUCGGGUUGUAAACCGCUUUCGCCUGUGACGAAGCGUGAGUGACGGUAAUGGGUAAAGAAGCACCGGCUAACUAAGUG